CACUGAGACGUGGUGCACUCGGCAUGGAGAAGAAUGUGACUCAAGGAUUGGCAGGAGGCACUUAUGCCGUUGAUGAGAAACUCGCAGGAGCAAACAUGGAGAGAAAAAAAAUCUGUUUUCUUGUUUGUGGUGAAGAAGAAAAAUGAUGUACAAUUUCCAGAAUUCUGGUAUGCUAUAGAAUAUUUUUUUAUGGAUUUGCUACGUAUCUUAUUUUACAUUAUUUUGUUUUAUGUACAUAUAUAGUAUGAAUACCACUGAAACAAAUUUCAAAGAGAUCCAGGUCUGCUGUGGUUGAUCUUCCUCUCUACCAUCAUCUCAUUCUGACUAUGGAUAAAAGCACCUGUUUCUUGAUUUAAAGAAAACUGCUGCAGAAUUCAGUGGAGGGCUGGAAGGACAAAUGCUACUUCCUUUCCUUGAGCCAGAUCACCUUCACAAUCUGCUGCUAAGGCACCCAGGACAACAACAACAGGAAAUUCUUCCAGGCUUUCCUCCAGCUAUGAUUGCCUGAUGACAGUGCCCCAUCUUACCAAGAGAUCAGUGCUUUGCACCUGCCCUGCACCUGAGGUUGCUGUAUGAAUUACACCCUGAAGCAGACACUGCCACACUGAGAAAUGUUCCAAGCAGAACAGCUAUUUUAGUGACAUCAGUUGACAAAUAAAUGUCAUUGUGAUU
ensembl:lncRNA